rnacentral:rRNA from 1 species
UGAGGAAUAUUGCGCAAUGGGGGCAACCCUGACGCAGCAACGCCGCGUGAGUGAGGAAGGUUUUCGGACCGUAAAGCUCUGUCGAGCGGGAAGAAAUGCAUGGUGGCUAAUAUCCAUCAUGCUUGACGGUACCGCUAAAGGAAGCACCGGCUAACUCCGUGCCAGCAGCCGCGGUAAUACGGGGGGUGCGAGCGUUGUUCGGAACUAUUGGGCGUAAAGAGCGUGUAGGCGGCCGAAUAAGUCAGAUGUGAAAUCCCUGGGCUUAACCCAGGACGUGCAUUUGAAACUAUUCGGCUGGAGUAGGGGAGAGGAAAGUGGAAGUACUGGUGUAGAGGUGAGAUUCGUAGAUAUCAGGAGGAACACCGGUGGCGAAGGCGACUUUCUGGCCCUAUACUGACGCUGAGACGCGAGAUCGUG